UCCUCGGUAGUAUAGUGACUAGUAUCCCCGCCUGUCGCGCGGGAGACCGGGAUUCGAUUCCACGGCGGGAAG